rnacentral:rRNA from 1 species
UGCUUUAUGUACAUUCAUAUAAAGUAAUCUCCUGCCCAGUGAAAUUAUUCAACGGCCGCGGUAUCCUAACCGUGCAAAGGUAGCAUAAUAACUUGCCUAUUAAUUGUAGGCUAGAAUGAACGGGGUCACGAAAUAAGAACUUUCUUUUUUAUAUAAAUAUAAACUAAUAUUUAAGUGAAGAAGCUUAAAUUAAAUAAAAGGACAAGAAGACCCUAUAGAGCUUAAAUUAUAACAUAUACUAUAUUUAAAAAUUUCGGUUGGGGCAACCACGGAGCAAAUCAUCCAGUAAUAUAAGAUUUACAAAUCAAAUUAAUGAUCCUAUAUUAGAUCACAGGAAUAAGCUACCUUAGGGAUAACAGGCUAAUCCUAUUAUAGAGUCCUUAUCAACAAUAGGGAUUGGCACCUCGAUGUUGGCUUAGAGAAUCUAUGUGACGCAGCAGUCACAAAAAGAAAGUUUGUUCAACUUAUAAUUCUC